rnacentral:ncRNA from 1 species
UCAAGAUAAAGGCAAAACUAUUGAAAAAUAGUGACGCAAAGCCAUGGGUCUAAGGGGAUUUCCUAGGAUUGCCAGGCUGCCGAA